GGCUGUUUAUCAGGUCUGCUGCUGGUACCUCCUUGAAGAAAAAGUGCAUUUAUUACAAAAACCAACCAGCUGAAGAUGUUAUUGAGGUCGUGGAUGUGAAGGCAAGAGGAAGCACUGCCCUGGGAAUGUCUGCCUCUGGAAUCCCAGCCAGCAGGAAAACUUGGCAGAGCUUCGCUGUGCCUCAGCCCUCCCCUGGUUCAGCAGGGCUGAUUGAUCAGCCCAAGGCUGCUGAAAUUGGGGCAACGCAAACCCCCAAGACAUUGUUUUCCAGACCAUGAACUGAUGCUUUUGGCUGCUGCAGAAGCUCCUCCAUCUCGUCUGAAGCUGCUGAAAAGUGCCUUGAUGUUCUCCCCUGCAAAGGGAAUUAAUCUCUGGGAGGGAACGAAGAGCACAGCACAAAGAGCAGGCAUGGUCCAGACCUCACAGGACUAAUUAUGCUCUUAAAGGAACUGAGUUGUUAAUUUUGGAUGGUCACAGGAGCUGCUCUGGAAAUGCCUGCAAGAGGCAGCAAAGAGAAGCUGGGACGAAGGAAAGUGGUUCAACCUACUGGCUAGUCUGGGAAUGAGGAUCUGCUCGCUGCUGCUGCCAUCUCCCCCCUCCGUGGUUGCUCUGACCUCGAUGAAAUAAUCGUCCUGGAGCCGCAGCCACAGCUCGGCCGUGGUGGUGUCCGUGGUCAGCACCUCCACCCUGCUCUGCCUGCUGGUCCUGUACAGAACCUGCAACACAGCACACCCUCAGCACCUCCCUGUCCCUCACAAACAGCUUUUGGGAGGGAUGGGAUGGAAGAAAAGAGCUGAUUUUUGGUUAAUAUUCCAGGGUGGAAUUACAGUUAAAGGAAGAAGGGAACAUCAAUCAAAGCCUUUUAUUCCAGAUUUAAUUUAAAAUGGCACAACGGAUGAUGAUACAUAUUAUAUAUUAUUUUUAUUAUAAUAAUAGGAAAUAAUGGGAGGUGGGACACUGGAACAAGCUGUGAAAACGUACUUCUUUCCAAUACAACUCAGUGGGUAAUCAGAUCUUCAGCCUAAAUCUUUUAUUCAGGAAUAUAUUAUGUUGGAUCCAGCUGUACAGAGCUUAUCAGGAGCAUCCUCAACUAUGCUUUAUACACACACUUAUAUGACACAUUUAAACACUUCUACAUUUGUGUGCUGAUCAGAUUUAGAGCAGAUGCAACAGUGUAAUUUCUGUCAGGGAAAUGAGCAUGGCCCACAGCGAGUAAGAGGAGAAAAGGUUUAAAAAUAUCAGUUUAAUAUAUGUGAUAAUAUAUAAUAAAUAUAAUAAAUAUACCUGGCCAACAAUGGA